CACACUCCAUUUAUUCAUUUCUCCUCCAUAAACUCCCCUCAUCAGCCUCCUGUUCCUUAUAUCCUUCACUUCUUCUUUCUUCAAUUUUCUUUCAAAUCAUGAAAUCUAUUCAACAAAUCAAGCACCCAUAAAGAAAAUUAUACAUCUAAGCUAAGCUAUUUCAAAGUACAAGUGAGAUUUGGAUAGAAUUUUGGGAUUAAGGUUAUUGCUUCAUGGAAGGAGAAGAGUACUCAUCAUUUGAAAUUGAAAAGAAAAUUUGGUCGAUUGGGCAUAGCUAUUUCCAAGCAGCGAAGUAGAAAGCUGCUAGUAGAUUCGAAGUUCAGCUGUGUCACUCGUUUUGGUAGGCUUCUUUGGUGGAUGUCUCUAUUGUUUAUGCAUAUGUUGAGUCGAAGAAUCUGCAACUAUUUGGUAGUCUAGGAUGUUUUAUUCUGAGUUGUACAAGUAUGUAAAAAUGUUAUUUGAGAUACUGGCUGAUGAAAAAAAUUUCAUAUCUUGGAAAUGCUGAAUUUACAGAGGAAACGUCGAAAUUUCAAUAAAUAGUUUUUUUUGGAAGUGAAAACUGAAUUGGAAUUGUUUUUA
rnacentral:lncRNA from 1 species